UGGCAGUUUAGCGGAUAUUUUCUAACUGUGCAGUUUUUUUAUACACCUGCAGUAUAGUAUAUCCUGUAGGGCGUUCUGGAAUGACGACUACAGUCUACACCCACCAGCAAUGUGUAGUACGUUGCAUUUUUUUUUUUUGUACACCGAAUAAGAACAUUAUUUGGGUAAAUUCCUUAUCUUAUGGUAAUGUAUUUUAUACGUUUUCAUGCUUCAUGGUCAGAGGUGGAGCCUCGACUAUGACAAUAUUUAUAAACCAAUUAUCAAAGUUAAAGACAGACUGUGCAGUAAAGACGGCAAUUGUUAAUACCAUUUUUAUCGAAGCUGGUCGUUUUCCUUUUUUCCGUUGCGCUUUUCAUAUGUUUUCUGUCAGCAUUCACCUAUUACGUCGGUUCAUAAUGAAACUGCGACGAUCCUUCUCACUUUUCUCUGUAUAGCACGAUCAGUGGUCCCAACUUCCUUGUUUUUAGGCGAGAUUGAUCAACCGGCAGUUAAGUCUCUUUAUUUUUAUGUUCGCCUUUUCUCUGUCACUCCACGUGCAAAUUCAAUUAAGAUCAAUUUUCUGUUGCGUUUCUGCUGAGAUCUGGAAACGAACUACAAAGAUCAGUUAAUCAUCACAGUAAGGCAGAGUCACAGCAAAUACUAACAGCUAUAAAGUGAUUUUGGAAAAUAGCCCUUCUGGGCUCGAUAAUUUACUUUUCAG